UACACACCGCCCGUCAAACCACGAAAGUUGUAUUAGCCAGAAGCAAAUGAGUUAACCGCAAGGAGACAGUUUGCCAAGGCUUGUGCGAUGAUUGGGGUU
rnacentral:rRNA from 1 species